GUGGGGAAUCUUCCGCAAUGGACGAAAGUCUGACGGAGCAACGCCGCGUGAGUGAAGAAGGUUUUCGAAUCGUAAAGCUCUGUUGUCAGGGACGAGCAGGGGGAGUAUCAACAACACUCUCUCAUGACGGUACUUGACGAGGAAGCCACGGCUAACUACGUGCCAGCAGCCGCGGUAAUACGUAGGUGGCGAGCGUUGUCCGGAAUUAUUGGGCGUAAAGGGAGCGCAGGUGGGAAAGUAAGUCUGCUUUAAAAGUGCGGGGCUCAACCCCGUGAGGGAGUGGAAACUAUUUUUCUUGAGUGCAGGAGAGGAAAGCGGAAUUCCUAGUGUAGCGGUGAAAUGCGUAGAUAUUAGGAGGAACACCAGUGGCGAAGGCGGCUUUCUGGACUGUAACUGACACUGAGGCUCGAAAGCCAGGGGAGCGAACGGGAUUAGAUACCCUAGUAGUCC
rnacentral:rRNA from 1 species